rnacentral:rRNA from 1 species
ACUCAAAUGAAUUGACGGGGGCCCGCACAAGCAGUGGAGUAUGUGGUUUAAUUCGAAGCAACGCGAAGAACCUUACCAGGGCUUGACAUCCCUCGAAUUGCAUGGAAACAUGCAAGUCCUUCGGGACGAGGAGACAGGUGGUGCAUGGUUGUCGUCAGCUCGUGUCGUGAGAUGUUGGGUUAAGUCCCGCAACGAGCGCAACCCUUGUUGUUAGUUGCCAUCAAGUAAAGUUGGGCACUCUAACGAGACUGCCGGUGAUAAAUCGGAGGAAGGUGGGGAUGACGUCAAAUCAUCAUGCCCUUUAUGUCCUGGGCUACACACGUACUACAAUGGCUGCUACAGAGGGCAGCGAAGCCGCAAGGCGAAGCGAAUCCCAAAAAAGCGGUCUCAGUUCGGAUUGUGGGCUGCAACCCGCCCGCAUGAAGCCGGAAUUGCUAGUAAUGGCAGGUCAGCAUACUGCCGUGAAUACGUUCCCGGGCCUUGUACACACCGCCCGU